rnacentral:ncRNA from 1 species
AAGCAGAAAAUAAUCUUCGUAUAACCCUGCAAAUACGGUGCAGGGGUCUCUACCGGGCAACCGUAAAUUACCCGACUACGAAGACAGUCU